UAAAAUAUUGCUUACACAGUAAUUUAUUACAUUUACUGCAACAAAUGAACUCAUUCAUAUAGUAGAAGGUAAAAAUAGGAUAAAAGUAUUGUACAAUGCACACACAAUAAAUCAAUAGAAAAAAUAUGAAAAAUCAGUGAGUCGCGAAACCACCCUCGCCGAAACCAUUCCUUGGCCGGAAUGUGUCACCCGUCUCCAAAAUCAGAUCAGGAAACCACAAAAAAAAAACCAUCACCCCAUCAAAAUUGACUCAUUUUCGGGUCAAUCCCGGUCGGCUCUUGCCGAAAUCGCCACUGUCGGCCCCUUUUUGCUCCAGAUAUGGCAGAGGACCACCAGAUCCAACCUUUCCUCCCCAGAAUCAGCACCAACCGCCAUCGCCGCUGCCUCCCUUCCCCUUUUUUCUCUUACCACUGUCGCGCCUCCCCCGAGAAACGCAUUCAAUAACCAGAUCCGGCGAAGCCCCUUUCUUUCCCAACGUUUCACCGGCGAACCAAUCGCCGGAAACAGCCCUCCCCGUUAACGACUGAAAUUGAUUCAAUUGUCUAGGUGUGAUUAUUUUUAUUUCUUCCCCGAUUAUUG
rnacentral:lncRNA from 1 species